GGGAAUGUAGCUUAGUGGUAGAGUGCUUACCUAGCAAACAUGAAGCCCUGGGUUCAAUUCCCCAGUACCA
rnacentral:tRNA from 1 species